rnacentral:rRNA from 1 species
GACGAACGCUGGCGGCGUGCUUAACACAUGCAAGUCGAACGGAAAGGCCCUGCUUGCAGGGUACUCGAGUGGCGAACGGGUGAGUAACACGUGGGUGAUCUGCCCUGCACUUCGGGAUAAGCUUGGGAAACUGGGUCUAAUACCGGAUAGGACCGCACUUUAGUGUGUGUGGUGGAAAGUUUUUUCGGUGUAGGAUGAGCUCGCGGCCUAUCAGCUUGUUGGUGGGGUAAUGGCCUACCAAGGCGGCGACGGGUAGCCGGCCUGAGAGGGUGUACGGCCACAUUGGGACUGAGAUACGGCCCAGACUCCUACGGGAGGCAGCAGUGGGGAAUAUUGCACAAUGGGCGCAAGCCUGAUGCAGCGACGCCGCGUGGGGGAUGAAGGCCUUCGGGUUGAAAACUCCUUUCGCUAGGGACGAAGCUUUUUGUGACGGUACCUAGAUAAGAAGCACCGGCUAACUACGUG